GGAAGCAAAAGAAGAACAUGAUAUUUCCAUUUCAAAUCAAAAGGAAAUAGGGG
rnacentral:sRNA from 1 species